GAGAAAACCUAAAUACAUUAAAAUCUCUCAAACUCUCCCACGACUAACCCCCUGUCAUUUUCAUCGUAUCUUAAGAGUCCCUUACGGUUCUCGUCCUCUUGGUUUUCGUUGUCUCCGGCUACAGGCACUACCCUUGCUAUGAAGAUAAUAGCUAGUCCAUUGAUCAAGGCAUAUAUCAUAAAUGUACCUGAAAGCACACACAGUUACGAGUUGCGCCAUGGUAGAAGCUGUCCUAUCAAAAAUGAAGUAGAAACUCCGCAGGAAAUCAUAAGCUGUUGAGAAAGUUGAAAGUCUGAACCUGAUUCAAUGUUGUCAAGGCUCCUCGAAGAUUCUUGGGUGCUAUUUCAGCUAUGAAAACAGAAUGAAGAAGAAGAAGAAAACAACGAGGUUAGCGAAAUUGCUGCUUAUAUAAGAAUGAAAGAGAGACAGUAACUGUCAAGACUUUCUAUUCUUAAAUUAUAAUUGAAAUGGACCCUGACUGAUAUACUCCAAG